GUGCUUGUAGCUCAGCUGGAUAGAGUGACUGGCUACGAACCAGUAGGUCGUGGGUUCGAGUCCCCCCAGGCACA
rnacentral:tRNA from 1 species